GACGAAGGGGGCUAGCGUUGUUCGGAAUUACUGGGCGUAAAGCGCGUGUAGGCGGUUGCCAUAGUCAGGUGUGAAAGCCUUGAGCUUAACUCAAGAAAUGCACUUGAUACUGGGCGACUAGAGGACCGGAGAGGAUAGUGGAAUUCCCGGUGUAGCGGUGAAAUGCGCAGAUAUCGGGAAGAACACCCGUGGCUAAGGCGGCUCUCUAGUACGGUACUGACGCUGAGACGCGAAAGCGUGGGGAGCGAACAGG
rnacentral:rRNA from 1 species